rfam:Helianthus annuus linkage group 2, whole genome shotgun sequence.
GUGGGGAAGGUUAAGGUUGGUAAAAUUUCUCUUUGCCAAGGAGAAGACGCGGGUUCGAUUCCCGCUAUCCGCC